AGAGUUUGAUCCUGGCUCAGGAUGAACGCUGGCGGCGUGCUUAACACAUGCAAGUCGAGCGAAGCAGUUAAGAAGAUUCUUCGGAUGAUUCUUAAUUGACUGAGCGGCGGACGGGUGAGUAACGCGUGGGUGACCUGCCCCAUACCGGGGGAUAACAGCUGGAAACGGCUGCUAAUACCGCAUAAGCGCACAGAGCUGCAUGGCUCGGUGUGAAAAACUCCGGUGGUAUGGGAUGGGCCCGCGUCUGAUUAGGCAGUUGGCGGGGUAACGGCCCACCAAACCGACGAUCAGUAGCCGGCCUGAGAGGGCGACCGGCCACAUUGGGACUGAGACACGGCCCAAACUCCUACGGGAGGCAGCAGUGGGGAAUAUUGCACAAUGGGGGAAACCCUGAUGCAGCGACGCCGCUGAGCGAAGAAGUAUUUCGGUAUGUAAAGCUCUAUCAGCAGGGAAGAUAAUGACGGUACCUGACUAAGAAGCCCCGGCUAACUACGUGCCAGCAGCCGCGGUAAUACGUAGGGGGCAAGCGUUAUCCGGAUUUACUGGGUGUAAAGGGAGCGUAGACGGCAAGGCAAGUCUGAUGUGAAAACCCAGGGCUUAACCCUGGGACUGCAUUGGAAACUGUCUGGCUCGAGUGCCGGAGAGGUAAGCGGAAUUCCUAGUGUAGCGGUGAAAUGCGUAGAUAUUAGGAAGAACACCAGUGGCGAAGGCGGCUUACUGGACGGUAACUGACGUUGAGGCUCGAAAGCGUGGGGAGCAAACAGGAUUAGAUACCCUGGUAGUCCACGCCGUAAACGAUG
rnacentral:rRNA from 1 species